rnacentral:rRNA from 1 species
UGAUCCUGCCAGUAGUGUAUGCUUCUCCUAAAGACUAAGCCAUGCAUGCCUCCGAAUAAGAGGAAGCGAUUAUCUCUGAAUCUGCGAACGGCUCCGCACACCAGUUGUAAACUAUAGCAAGGUCGCCCGGGGUUUUGGCUUCGGCCUGAGUGUCGGGUGACAUGGAUAACCCAGGUAAUUCUUAGGCUAAUACAAGAACAUAAAAACCGCUGACGGCGCAAGCUGGAGGCGGGGGCACGCAAUAACGGACACACAAGGAAUUACCUGGAAGGAGUGCGCGCUCUGACCGUCACAGAAAGGGGGCACAUGGUUCACCCCUCACGGGGCGGCUGUGGGCCCUGGCGGCGCUUGCGAUGUGCUUCUGACCUAUCAACUAGAUGGCAGCGUAAGGGACAUGCUUUGGUUACAACGGGUACAGAGGAUUAGGGUUCGAUCCUGGAGAGUGGGCCUGAGAGAUUGCUCAUACUUCUAAGGAAGGCAGCAGGCGCGCAACGUUCCCAUUGGGCAAAGCUCGAGGGCGUUAGGGGACAUAUGAAUGCCUGCCUUUUGGUGGGCAAUC